AUUGAACGCUGGCGGCAGGCCUAACACAUGCAAGUCGAGCGGAUGAAGGGAGCUUGCUCCUGGAUUCAGCGGCGGACGGGUGAGUAAUGCCUAGGAAUCUGCCUGGUAGUGGGGGAUAACGUCCGGAAACGGGCGCUAAUACCGCAUACGUCCUGCGGGAGAAAGUGGGGGAUCUUCGGACCUCACGCUAUCAGAUGAGCCUAGGUCGGAUUAGCUAGUUGGUGGGGUAAAGGCCUACCAAGGCGACGAUCCGUAACUGGUCUGAGAGGAUGAUCAGUCACACUGGAAUUGAGACACGGUCCAGACUCCUACGGGAGGCAGCAGUGGGGAAUAUUGGACAAUGGGCGAAAGCCUGAUACAGCCAUGCCGCGUGUGUGAAGAAGGUCUUCGGAUUGUAAAGCACUUUAAGUUGGGAGGAAGGGCAGUAAGUUAAUACCUUGCUGUUGUGACGUUACCAACAGAAUAAGCACCGGCUAACUUCGUG
rnacentral:rRNA from 1 species